rnacentral:rRNA from 2 species
CGGCGGACGGGUGAGUAACACGUGGGCAACCUGCCUAUAAGACUGGGAUAACUUCGGGAAACCGGAGCUAAUACCGGAUACGUUCUUUUCUCGCAUGAGAGAAGAUGGAAAGACGGUUUACGCUGUCACUUAUAGAUGGGCCCGCGGCGCAUUAGCUAGUUGGUGAGGUAAUGGCUCACCAAGGCGACGAUGCGUAGCCGACCUGAGAGGGUGAUCGGCCACACUGGGACUGAGACACGGCCCAGACUCCUACGGGAGGCAGCAGUAGGGAAUCUUCCGCAAUGGACGAAAGUCUGACGGAGCAACGCCGCGUGAACGAAGAAGGCCUUCGGGUCGUAAAGUUCUGUUGUUAGGGAAGAACAAGUACCAGAGUAACUGCUGGUACCUUGACGGUACCUAACCAGAAAGCCACGGCUAACUACGUGCCAGCAGCCGCGGUAAUACGUAGGUGGCAAGCGUUGUCCGGAAUUAUUGGGCGUAAAGCGCGCGCAGGUGGUUCCUUAAGUCUGAUGUGAAAGCCCACGGCUCAACCGUGGAGGGGUCAUUGGAAACUGGGGAACUUGAGUGCAGAAGAGGAAAGUGGAAUUCCAAGUGUAGCGG